rnacentral:rRNA from 1 species
CCUACGGGUUGCAGCAGUAGGGAAUCUUCGGCAAUGGACGAAAGUCUGACCGAGCAACGCCGCGUGAGUGAAGAAGGUUUUCGGAUCGCAAAACUCUGUUGGUAGAGAAGAACGUUGGUGAGAGUGGAAAGCUCAUCAAGUGACGGUAACUACCCUGAAAGGGACGGCUAACUACGUGCCAGCAGCCGCGGUAAUACGUAGGUCCCGAGCGUUGUCCGGAUUUAUUGGGCGUAAAGCGAGCGCAGGUGGUUUAUUAAGUCUGGUGUAAAAGGCAGUGGCUCAACCAUUGUAUGCAUUGGAAACUGGUAGACUUGAGUGCAGGGGAGGAGAGUGGAAUUCCAUGUGUAGCGGUGAAAUGCGUAGAUAUAUGGAGGAACACCGGCGGCGAAAGCGGCUCUCUGGCCUGUAACUGACACUGAGGCUCGAAAGCGUGGGGAGCAAACAGGAUUAGAUACCCCUGUAGUC